UACGUAGGGGGCAAGCGUUGUCCGGAUUCAUUGGGCGUAAAGAGCGUGUAGGCGGCCAGGUAGGUCGGUUGUGAAAACUGGAGGCUCAACCUUCAGAGGUCGACCGAAACCAUCUGGCUAGAGUCCGGGAGAGGAGAGUGGAAUUCCUGGUGUAGCGGUGAAAUUCGUAGAUAUUCGGCGGAACACCAGUGGCGAAGGCGGCUCACUGGCCCGGUACUGACGCUGAGGUGCGAAAGCGUGGGGAGCAAACAGG
rnacentral:rRNA from 1 species